AUUGAACGCUGGCGGCAUGCCUUACACAUGCAAGUCGAACGGUAACGCGGGGCAACCUGGCGACGAGUGGCGAACGGGUGAGUAAUAUAUCGGAACGUGCCCAGUAAUGGGGGAUAGCCCGGCGAAAGCCGGAUUAAUACCGCAUACGACCUACGGGUGAAAGCAGGGGAUCGCAAGACCUUGCGUUAUUGGAGCGGCCGAUGUCAGAUUAGCUAGUUGGUGGGGUAAAUGCCUACCAAGGCGACGAUCUGUAGCUGGUCUGAGAGGACGACCAGCCACACUGGGACUGAGACACGGCCCAGACUCCUACGGGAGGCAGCAGUGGGGAAUUUUGGACAAUGGGCGCAAGCCUGAUCCAGCCAUGCCGCGUGCGGGAAGAAGGCCUUCGGGUUGUAAACCGCUUUUGUCAGGGAAGAAACGCUCUGGGUUAAUACCUCGGGGUAAUGACGGUACCUGAAGAAUAAGCACCGGCUAACUACGUGCCAGCAGCCGCGGUAAUACGUAGGGUGCAAGCGUUAAUCGGAAUUACUGGGCGUAAAGCGUGCGCAGGCGGUUAUGCAAGACAGAUGU
rnacentral:rRNA from 1 species